rnacentral:rRNA from 1 species
CCUACGGGAGGUAGCAGUGGGGAAUUUUGCGCAAUGCUCGUAAGAGUGACGCAGCGACGCCGCGUGAAUGACGAAGGCCUUCGGGUCGUAAAGUUCUUUCGACAGGGAAGAAAAUGCCUAUAAGUAACUGUGUAUGUAUUGACGGUACCUGUAUAAGCAGCCCCGGCUAACUCCGUGCCAGCAGCCGCGGUAAUACGGAGGGGGCGAGCGUUGUUCGAAGUGACUGGGCGUAAAGAGCACGUAGGCGGUGUUGUAAGUCAUUAGUCAAAGACUAGAGCUCAACUUUAGUAAGGCUAGUGAUACUAUAAUACGAGAGUAUCAGAGAGGAUUGCAGAAUUCCUGGUGUAGCGGUGAAAUGCGUAGAUAUCAGGAGGAAUACCGUUAGCGAAGGCGGCAAUCUGGCUGGAAACUGACGCUGAGGUGCGAAAGCGUGGGUAGCAAACAGGAUUAGAUACCCCUGUAGUC